rnacentral:lncRNA from 1 species
UUGGACAUCACUAGCCUUUGUCCUUUCAUAUCCACCGCCCUGCUUUUAUGAUAGCAUUUCCCAAUGAAAUCUUUUAUCUACCAAUAUCCUCUUAAAAUCUUCUUGAAUUUUCUUCGUCUGACUCUCUUGAUCUCAGUCUCUCCCUCUUCUGAUGAGUAUACCUUAGAUGCAGUCCCAACAGUCGUCCUUCUUCUUCUCACAACAUUUCUUUAUCAAAAAAUGGGCAUUCUUGAAUCUCCUGUGUCUGGUUCUCUUGACCUCCGUGGCUCCCUCUCCUGAUGAAUAUGCAUUGGAUGCAGCCCCAACAGGUAAUGCCCUUCUCAUCUUCUCAGUGCUUCUUUAGCAACAAAAUGGGUAGUCUCAUUUUCUGUUUCAGGAAUGAAAUGAAACCCGAUAUUCUGAAAAAAAAAAACUUUUUUGCUAUGGGAUAUCUCUGAUUAUCGCCCUUAUAAUCGAUUUAUCUUGGUUUAUGGUUUGACAUUUCUUAAUCACUAUUCUUGAGUCUCUUUUUAUAUUCAGAAUAUUCAAUCCCAUUGUAAUACUUGACUUAAAGGCCACAAUCUCCCCCUCCGUAUUGCAAACAACUAAACCCAAAGCAGAUUUGGAGGUUCUCUUAUCAAAAGCCGCAUCAAAAUAAACUAUCACCCUCGUGCUUCUUUCCAUCUGCUUAUGACCUCUGUCAAUGUUGGUAAAAAGUCUUUUUUCCUCUACUCCAUUUAACUCUGCUGUAGAACUGAUGACUUGUUUAGAAAUAUCCCUACCUGUUGUAAUCUUCUCUUAUAGAUGAAUCUAUUUCUAUGGUUCCAGAUUAACCAUAGCCCACCGCAAAAAAGGCGACACUGGUCUCUGUUUCCCUGCCUAAAAACCCAAAUAAGCCACUCCCAUAAGCUUUGAAUGUUAUUAUUGUAUACCCAUGCAAAAUCUAAAUUUGAGCAUACUUCUGUUGUUGUAGGACAGUACCUAAAAAUGUGGUUACUAUCUUCAUCGGAAGUGUGACAUCGGGGACAAAGAGUUUCAGCUGCAGCUUUUUUAAUCUUUAGUUUAGAUAGAGUAGGAAUAUAAUUCCAAGAAAUUCUCCAAAUUUUAAUUUUAAUUUUUGGAGGGAUUUGUAAAUUCCAUAAUUUUCUAUAGAAGUUUCUAAUCUCGGUCUAUAUAAAACUAUUAUUAGGACCCGAAUUAGUCUUAUAGGCACUUCUGACUGAAUACUCGCCUGACGGUUCUCCUCUCCAUACUUUGGAAGUCCUCGUAGAUUAUCUCUGCCAAGGGGAUCUGCAGAAUUUUCUUAGCAGUAUCCUCAUUGAAGGUACUUAAAACUAAAUCUGUAUUCCACUUUCUAUUAUUAGCAUCUAUCAAAUCUAAUUCUAACUUAAUAUUCUCAUUGGUGGUUUCAUUAUGCAAUCUAUCAUUUUCAG